UCCCCUUGUCAGAGCUUCAUAGUGUCUGUUUAAUGUGGUAUAUUAACAGCCCUAUCAUGAGUGGAAAUAUUACACCCCAAAUCCUCAUGAGGAGCUCUAGUGAGCCAAGAUUUGAUUUCUGUGGAUGUGGUUUUCCAGCGGAGCUGCCUCAGAACCACAGAAAAUGUUCUGUCAGAAAUUCAGGGGGACAUGCUAUCCUGCACAGUAAGAAACAGGGCCAGGCUUUGCAGGAUAAUCUUCUGGAAGAUGAAAGAAAUGGAAAUGCCCUGUUUCUUUUACUUGCAUUGCAUUUGGGGAUUAAUUUCCCAAUAAAAUGCCACCAUCUUCUUAGAUGUGCAGGAUCUAGGCACUCGAUUUCCACUGGCUUUCCUGAGUUUUAUGACUUCUUCAAGAAAAUUGUCACUAUACUCAUCACCCCUGCAGGCCUCCAAGGCCUCGGGUCCUCUGGGAGGAAUGUGACCCAAGAAGGCCCAAGCUGUCGGUGGUGGUGUGAGAAGUGAGCAACCAGGUGCAGAGCAGUUAAACAUCCCUUAUGGCAUCACAGGAGCAGGAAUGUGGCCUUGUUUCAGGAUUGGCUCUGCAAUGUAACGGGAUGGAGAACCAAAGACCAGAAAGAGCUGCAGCAUGGAGGAUUAGGAUGCUCCCCAAGGCUUCCACGCAGAAGAGAGCCAAGAGCCUUCUGUACUUAACAGUAAUAACUUACUUAUACUUACAUCCCCAGAGUGUUGUGAGGCUUAAUUAGGUAAUGUUUGCAAAGUGCUAUGCAGAUGCAAAGAGCAAUAUAAGCACUAAGUAUUAUUAACUGGUAGAAGAUUUCCAUGCAAGAGGUCUCUACAGUCUGUUGGAGCUAAAUGAUUCAGCAGGUUCCCCAAAAUUACGGGGCAGAGCAGAGAACUCUCCCUCAGAAACACGAGUCCACUUUCACAGCCUGCCUUUCGCACCCCAGGGCCCGGGAUCCCAAAUUGCCUCUGUUACCCUGGCCUUCUCAGCACCACAUCCUGAGGGAAGGCAGGAGGAGGAGUUCACUGAGACCCUCAGCAAGACAAGGACAAGGCCAAAGCGGCCUGAACUGAGCAUUGUUGGCUCUCUGCCAGGAUAAGGACAGGUUUCUGUUCUGUGACAUGGUCGCAGAUUGAAUUAUACCCCAGUACCUCUCCCAGGUUUCUUUUUCCCAGUCAGAUAAAUGGGAGACCUGCCUCCAAGCGGGCAUGUAGCCCAGUUUCCCUGGGCCCCCAGUGCUGUCCUCCCGGGUACUGUGCAGGUGAAUGUUUGUGCUAUUGCAAAAAACAGAGGCUAUGUGAAGGGAGGGAUCCUGCACAGCUGUGUGACUGUAGCACGAUCACAGCCCCCAGAGGGGGUGUCCAAGGGAAAGCUUUAAGAAAGGAUAAUUUUUUUAAAUUCUGGUAGUUGAAGUGAAGGUUGAAUGAGAGUCAAAAAUAAAUAUCAGACUCUUCUGAAAUUCACCCAUGCCUAAAUGACAGCUUAACUGUCAGCCUGCCUUCCCUCUCUGUGAAUGUAAGUGCCUGAAGUAUGGAGAAAAGGAGCCUACUUGCCCCACUGAGUCCCAGCGGGUCUCCUGGCUGCUGUAGCACCCAGCUGAGCUAUCUCAGUGGAGAGCUGGCAGGGGACAGAGCCUGGGAAGCUCCACAGGGGACAGAGGUGGUGGGGAAAUGCUGAUUUUUUUCCAAGCUUGGCUGCUUGGCGUAUAUCUUGCCAAGUGGAAAAGCUGCUAUGAUUUUCUAUCCCACAUUUUCUGGACAACUGUAAUUGGCAAAACUGAGCAAUAAAUUCUUGCGUGACUUACGGCAUGAUUGCUAUACUUUUAUACUUGUACAUAAGCUGGACGCUAUGCACACAAUUGACAAGCUGGAAAUCUUCAGUUGACACACAAAAAACAAACAAAACAACAAAAAUAUCUCAUAUAUGGUUCUCCAGACAUGAUAGGGACUAGAAGUCAUGUGAUGUAUUGAUGUUUAGUUCUAUUGAUGUUUAAUUUUCCAUUCAAUUUCCAGCAUGAGAAUUGCUUGAACAGUAGCUGGUUACAAAUGUGUUUUUUACAAUUUUUAUUAUUCCUGCCUUUUUGUUCUUUUUCUUUUAUACUACCUUUCCAGAUGGAUUAUCCAGUUGGCCAU